GUUAUUUUGGCAGAUUAGUGCACCGAGCUUAGAAUUCGAUCAUGUAUUUAUUACAUAUAACA
rnacentral:tRNA from 1 species